GUCUCAAACCUAAGAUUGUAGUGAUUGCUCCUUCGCCAAACGCUUAGUGUUUAGAAGUGAGAAGCACGAGUCUUUCGGAUAUGACCUUCAGAACGGAUGUCCCGUGUCGUGUCAGGCGUUGGCACAUGAAAGUUCUAGCCUGGUACCCGAGGCCUUCCGAUGUUCAAAGAACGAAGGCCAGGCAUCGGAUGUCGAAUGGAUUCUUCCACUGAUCAAAAUCCAAUAUGGCGGACUCAAUGAUGAAUUUCCAUACAUAUGGAAAGAAGAAACACAUGAUAGUAGAUGAAAAAACACCCUCAUAUAUAAUGCUUCAUGAAUAUGCAAAACCAUGCCAACAGACUCCAGAUGGAAAAAGACAUCGAGAAAGAAAUUCUAAAGGGGUAUUCAAGGACCCAUCCUCCUCCACACUAAUUCAUAUUGGAAGGAAUUAACAUCCAACUUGAAUGAAGAAUUACAAACUUCCAGAACAGACCCUUUAAAAAAGGAGAAGCCAGAUCUUCAGAAGACUUCCUUGAAAAUGAGAAUUUUUUGAGUGGAAGUGAAGAAUAUGGGAUGCAUACAAGCAGACAUCAGCAUUCCCUCCCUCUUGUUUGUAUCAGAGGUGAGCUUUUUGAGAAAGACUUAUGGAGGAAGUUUGAGAGUGUCCGUUCUCAAAUCAAGAAGUUAUCUAACAGUAGGAGGAGUAGUAAUUCAUUCCACUGUAUGGCCAGAGAAAUAUAUGACAUAAAAGACCCGAAAAAGGAGAUUUGGCAUUGUUUCAUGUGGAAAUUGAAGAAUCUUUGAAAUGGAUACAUGCAACACAGACAUGUUUCAGUUACUUGGGGAUAAAACUUAUGAGGAAUUUUGCUAACUUUCAGAUGGGAAUGUGUUGCACAAGAAAUGCUUGAUCACAACUUUCUUUUAUUAGAAACCUUUUCUAUGCAAAUAAUUAUUUUAAAUGAAAUUUAGCUAUUUCAUUAGACUAGUAAACAUGUUUUCUGUGCAAGUGUGUGUCUUUGACAUUAAAUGCUAUGAUAUAUUGAAGUAUUUUUAAACAAUGGAAGAUCUCUACUAGUUCUUUCAAAGGAAAGCCAACAACAGGAAUCGAACCUGUUCCUCCAUCGUACAGAUACGAAAGUGUGCACCAGUACACCAUGUUGGCAUAUAUUAAGAACUAGUAGCCUUGGAGAGUACAUAUUGUAUUAUUCUUGUACAGUUGAUACUGGUUGGUGUGAUAUAUAUAGAUGUAUAUAUAUAAUAUACAUACAGCUUAGUAUAAAUAAUGCAUGCCUCAUGUUUGCGAGUCGUCAAUAAAGCAUUUGAAUUGAA